GACGAACGCUGGCGGCGUGCUUAACACAUGCAAGUCGAGCGGAAAGGCCCUUUCGGGGGUACUCGAGCGGCGAACGGGUGAGUAACACGUGAGUAAUCAGCCCUUGGCUUUGGGAUAACCACCGGAAACGGUGGCUAAUACCGGAUAUGACGGGCUCCGGCAUCGGGGUUCGUGGAAAGUUUUUCGGCCAGGAUGUGCUCGCGGCCUAUCAGCUUGUUGGUGGGGUAAUGGCCUACCAAGGCUUCGACGGGUAGCCGGCCUGAGAGGGUGACCGGCCACACUGGGACUGAGACACGGCCCAGACUCCUACGGGAGGCAGCAGUGGGGAAUAUUGGACAAU
rnacentral:rRNA from 1 species